rnacentral:snoRNA from 2 species
GUUGAGGGUGAGCCAAAUAUUAAAGGGCAACUAGCCAACUAUUACAACAUCAAGGUAGCCUAUCAGUGUAACUAUGACAAAAG